GGGGCUGUAGCUCAGUGGUAAAGCGCUUGCCUGGCAUGCAUGAGGCACUGGGUUCAAUCUUCAGCACCA
rnacentral:tRNA from 1 species